rnacentral:lncRNA from 1 species
GAAGGAGGGGAAGGAAUGGGGCGGGAGGCGGGGCGGGGAGGGGAAGGGCGAGUGAGGCGCCGCCACUGCCGGCAACUUUGUGAGCGAGUUCAGUGCGUGCGUGAGCGAGUGAGCGAAAAGGAGAGCGCGCGACGGACGCGCCCGGGACGCGCGGCGGCACCGGGAGGUCGGGCCGAACGAUACUUGUUCGGAUCGUUGUGGCCUGUCUCAGAAAAUGUAAUGUUAACUGUAACAAGUUGGCUUACAGAGGCCGUUUAGCCAGAACUCUUGAACACUCUCUCCCUUGCAUGUUAAGGACUGCUUUGGGUAGCUACACUCUGAUCCAGUACCAAAUUCUACCAUGAUCUUCUGGUGGCACAGUGGUUUUUAUUGAAGCCUCUGGAUUUUUCUGUCUGGUAAGUUCUCUGCAUGAAAAGUUCUGCUUACCCCCCUUCAAACUG